CUGAGACAGACGGCAGCAGCGUCUGAAAGGGGAGGGAGAAGAGAAGCGUGGCCAGAUGAUUGUGCCCCACAGAAACACAGUUUACAGAAGAAGAAAGGAAGCUCAGAGAAGCUAAGCCAGCUGUGAUAAAGAAGCCCACAGUUGUAAGAAGGGACAAGGCUGAGAUCUGAACCCACUAAUGCAGUUAUGAGACUAGAGGUGAGGCUGCCAUCUUAUGACACUGAGAUGACCACGGGCCUGAAAGCCACACUCUACAGAUUAGAAGAACAAUUCAUUCCAGGAUCUAAAUCACCCAAGGAGCUUAUAUAUAUCUGCUGUCGAGUGAAUGUUUGUGUCCCUCCAAAAUUCAUGCUGAAAACUACACCUUAAUGUGACAGUAAUAAGAGAGAGCUCCUGUGCCUAAGGACCACCAAGACUUUGCUCUGUCAACUAAUACAUGAUCAGAUCAACUGAUACGAAAAGACCUAUGCAGCUGAGAAAACUAAAAAAUAAAAAUAAGUCCAGCAAUUCUUGCCGAGGUUAGAAGAAAUGGAAGAUCAACCAAGAGAAAAUGAAGGAACACAGAGAUGAGCAAAUGCAGGAUGUUGCUACCACCUGAGCACUGGAGAGUCGAGGCAGUGUGUCUGGAGCCCAGGAUCCUAGGCCAUAGAUGGAUGUUGGAACCAUGCAGAUCUGUGGCAUGGGCUAGAAGGGUGGAAUCCUUCCUGCCCCAGUCAUUCUCACUGAGACACCAAUAUGAUCCGCCCCCCCCACACACACCAUAUGCGGAAUUUACAAAGGGAAUAAAGGUUCCCUGCCAAUACACACACCAUAUGCAGAAUUUACAAAUGGAAUCUGUUCCAUGACUCCUGCACCCCUCAGCCAGA
rnacentral:lncRNA from 1 species